rnacentral:rRNA from 1 species
CCUACGGGAGGCAGCAGUGGGGGAUAUUGCACAAUGGGGGAAACCCUGAUGCAGCGACGCCGCGUGUGGGAAGACGGUCCUCUGGAUUGUAAACCACUGUCCCCAGGGACGAAGAUGACGGUACCUGGGGAGGAAGCUCCGGCUAACUACGUGCCAGAAGCCGCGGUAAUACGUAGGGAGCGAGCGUUGUCCGGAAUUACUGGGUGAAAAGGGAGCGUAGGCGGGGAUGCAAGUUGGUUGUCAAAACUACCGGCUCAACUGGUAGUCGCACUCAAAACCGCAGCUCUUGACUGAAGGAGAGGCAGGCGGAAUUCCUAGUGUAGCGGUGAAAUGCGUAGAUAUCACACAGAACACCGAUGGCGAAGGCAUCUCACGAAUCCGCGAUUGACGCUGAUGCACGAAAGCGUGGGUAUCAAACAGGAUUAGAUACCCCGGUAGUC